rnacentral:sRNA from 1 species
UGAACUGCCGUAGACAGCGGGUGCCGCAAGGCGUAAUGAGUUUUGGCUCGCCUGCCGAGGAAAGAAUCGUUUUUGAUUAUUAUUAAUUAUGACGAAUUUCAACUUCCGUACGGUAUAGUAUGGAAGUUUUUCUUUUUU